rnacentral:snRNA from 1 species
AUCGCUUCUCAGCCUUUUGGCUAAGAUCAAGCGUAGUAACUGUUCUUAUCAGUUUAACAUAAGGCUUUCAAUGUUAGAUUCUGCUAGUCAAGCAUAUAGGACAGUUGUUCAUCUUUAGAGUGAAGUAGAGCUCAUCAACUGCCACUCUAAACUAU